rnacentral:rRNA from 1 species
GAACUCUGGUAUUGAUUGGUGCUUGCAUCAUGAUUUACAUUUGAGUGAGUGGCGAACUGGUGAGUAACACGUGGGAAACCUGCCCAGAAGCGGGGGAUAACACCUGGAAACAGAUGCUAAUACCGCAUAACAACUUGGACCGCAUGGUCCGAGUUUGAAAGAUGGCUUCGGCUAUCACUUUUGGAUGGUCCCGCGGCGUAUUAGCUAGAUGGUGGGGUAACGGCUCACCAUGGCAAUGAUACGUAGCCGACCUGAGAGGGUAAUCGGCCACAUUGGGACUGAGACACGGCCCAAACUCCUACGGGAGGCAGCAGUAGGGAAUCUUCCACAAUGGACGAAAGUCUGAUGGAGCAACGCCGCGUGAGUGAAGAAGGGUUUCGGCUCGUAAAACUCUGUUGUUAAAGAAGAACAUAUCUGAGAGUAACUGUUCAGGUAUUGACGGUAUUUAACCAGAAAGCCACGGCUAACUACGUGCCAGCAGCCGCGGUAAUACGUAGGUGGCAAGCGUUGUCCGGAUUUAUUGGGCGUAAAGCGAGCGCAGGCGGUUUUUUAAGUCUGAUGUGAAAGCCUUCGGCUCAACCGAAGAAGUGCAUCGGAAACUGGGAAACUUGAGUGCAGAAGAGGACAGUGGAACUCCAUGUGUAGCGGUGAAAUGCGUAGAUAUAUGGAAGAACACCAGUGGCGAAGGCGGCUGUCUGGUCUGUAACUGACGCUGAGGCUCGAAAGUAUGGGUAGCAAACAGGAUUAGAUACCCUGGUAGUCCAUACCGUAAACGAUGAAUGCUAAGUGUUGGAGGGUUUCCGCCCUUCAGUGCUGCAGCUAACGCAUUAAGCAUUCCGCCUGGGGAGUACGGCCGCAAGGCUGAAACUCAAAGGAAUUGACGGGGGCCCGCACAAGCGGUGGAGCAUGUGGUUUAAUUCGAAGCUACGCGAAGAACCUUACCAGGUCUUGACAUACUAUGCAAAUCUAAGAGAUUAGACGUUCCCUUCGGGGACAUGGAUACAGGUGGUGCAUGGUUGUCGUCAGCUCGUGUCGUGAGAUGUUGGGUUAAGUCCCGCAACGAGCGCAACCCUUAUUAUCAGUUGCCAGCAUUAAGUUGGGCACUCUGGUGAGACUGCCGGUGACAAACCGGAGGAAGGUGGGGAUGACGUCAAAUCAUCAUGCCCCUUAUGACCUGGGCUACACACGUGCUACAAUGGAUGGUACAACGAGUUGCGAACUCGCGAGAGUAAGCUAAUCUCUUAAAGCCAUUCUCAGUUCGGAUUGUAGGCUGCAACUCGCCUACAUGAAGUCGGAAUCGCUAGUAAUCGCGGAUCAGCAUGCCGCGGUGAAUACGUUCCCGGGCCUUGUACACACCGCCCGUCACACCAUGAGAGUUUGUAACACCCAAAGUCGGUGGGGUAACCUUUUAGGAACCAGCCGCCUAAGGG